UAACAAGCAAUUGCUCUCACUCUUUCUCUCUCCUCUCUCCAAAAUUCUUUUUCCUUCUUUUCAUGAGUAUGGAGUAAUCUGUUAGGAUAUGCAUGGGGCUUAUCAGGAUUAUGAGUUAGGGGAGGAUAAUGGGAUUAAAUAACUUGGAUGUUGCGGAAGUAAUAAGAAUCAUGAUAUGUUUUUUCUUAAUUUUUGAAGUUAUUUUUAUUUUUUUAUUAUUUUGAUUUUUUCUUAUUGUGGGAGUUUUGGUUCUGUUCCAUCUUUCUAUCUUUCUCCUUGAAUCUGUUGAUUCAUUUUCUUCCGACUUCUUUUGUUUCGGAUUCUCUCUAAUUUCUCUAUUGCUUUGGAUUUCUAUUGCCUCUCCUCUUUUUUCAUCUCUCUAGAUCUAUAUCUCUUCUAUGCUCUUUUUAGCUGUUUGGGUAUUUCUCUUUUGGCUCGAUUUUCUUUCAACAGUAAGCUGUGUUUGAUCUUCUACUUUCUUCUUCUUCUCAGGUCUUUCUCUCUUUUUCUUUCAUUUUUGCUGGUCCAAUUUAUGCUUCUCUCUUGGUCUUAACCUGAUAUAGAUCUAAAAAUAAAAUAUUUUCCCUGAACUGUUUGAUGGAAAAAUUUAAUCAUUUUUGCUAAAAGUUUUCAUAUAAAAAAACCCUUAUUUCCCCUCUUCUCUGGAUGUUUCUCUUGAUUUAAAAUGAAUUUCAAAAUGGUGACCAUCUUGUUUCUUCUUCCCAUUUCCGGAUCUAAUCUUCAAAAGGAUAUUUACCCUUCUUCUGAUUGUUAGUCCUCUUAAUCUUUCUAUUAUUAUUUCCUUCCCUUGUUCUUUCUAAUCUUGAUCCGGAAAAUGAAAUUUUUGAGAGUAUCUAAAAGUUGUUUCUCUUCUCUCAUUUAAGGUGUUUUUCUUUUCAUCUUAAAUAGGCAUGUUUAAAAUUUUCCGUGAAUAGGGAUGGGGGUUGUUUUGUAUUGGCUAGUUUUAUUUUAGGUUUGUCUUCUUUAAAGACCUUGAUUAUGUUCAAAUCUCUGUUAGAUUUCUUUGGAUUGGCUUCUUCUUUCUUGCCUGUUUGGUCAGAUUUGCUUAGGUUUCUUAAGGAUUUUAAUCUAAUUCUAAUCUUUGUUUUCUUCUUUUGUUCAUCUUCUUUUCAACUGUUGAUAGGAUUUUCACUUAGUCUUUCUCUGAAUUUUUUGUGUGAUUUAAAAAUUUGUUGUGAAAAAAAAAAAUUGAUCCCAUGUCCCUAACCCUAACUCCGCUUAUCCCAAAUAGCCUCAGGCAUCAGUUCGUUCUCUCCAAGGAAAGUGUUCCGGCGGUAUUGCGGUUGGCUACACAGGGGCCUUUUCCUCUACUUUGUCUCUUGAAAUUACCUUUUUGGGUUCGUGUUUUUUUUUCCUAUUAAAACAUUUUACAGAUCUAAAGGAUUAGCAUCCGGUAAGAAACUAGUUGGAAGCCUAUCAACAAGCUGAGAUCCAACUCUUUUUUGAAUAACUACACCCAACCUAUGGAAAAGAAAUUCCCCAACUCGAACAUUAGGGUCAUGGCUAGCAAUAUAAUUGCAUAGACGUUUCAAGAAGUCUAUACCAUUAUCCCCCAACUUUCCCAAGGUGGUGAAAGCAAGCGCUCUAAAACCAUAGCCUUGAGAUGUACACUUCUCCAAAUAUUUAGCAUUCUUGCGAGUAACGGCGUUUUUAAUGGCCAAGGCUGAGACAAAGGAACGAACCUCACCACCGGUGAAAAGUGAAACACCAGUCACAUCGAAACACACGUCACGCCCAUCAUCCCAAUUAUAUUUUCUUUAGAUCUUUUCUCUAGCAGACAGUAAAUAGUCUUGAAUAAUUUGUAGCGUGGUACUUGAUCCUCUAUAUAGGAUAGUUUAAUUGCUUUUUAGUUUUCGGUUGGUUAUCCAGGGAACUCUUUUCCCUCUCUCUAUUGUGAUCCUUGUCACUUUUCACUUUUUGUUUCCAUGUUUAUAAAUUAAUGACAACAUUUCAAGUCCACUAAUUUAGGUUUUAAUUGAACAUUAGGAUCUCAGUGUUGCUUUGAAAGAGUGUUGCCUCAAUUGUUAGAUAGUACAACACUAGUACUAGUCUCUAGUUUAAGUCUUUGGUUUUUAUAGAAUCCAUACUUUUUUAAAAUUUCCCUGUUGUUAGGCCUUGGCUCCAAGUCUCUAGUUUCUUUAUUGAUAUUCUACUUUAUCGCUUUGUCACCAGAGUAGUUGAGACUGGGCAGUAAUCUAGACUUCUUAAACUGCCUUCAUCUUGUACAGUUGUGCUAGUUUUUUUAGUAUCAGUUAGUUUUCGAUUUGUGUUAGUUUCAAUAUGUUUUAUUUCAGUUUACUCUAUCCUCCUAUUUAUAUGUAUUGUGGUUGUGUAAUGUUAGUGUGUAAUUUAACCAUUUUUUGUGUUUCUUCUUGGAAUAGGAAUCUGAAAACUCCUGUGAAACAACAUGAUGCUGAAAUCAAUACUGGCGAUGUUCUAUUUGGUCGUAUUUUUUCGAAGAUGCAACCUUCACCAUUUAAAUCUUCGAUUGCGGCAAAGACUAAACCGUCGUCCUUAAUCAUUAAGAAGAGAUUUCUUUCCUGUAUAGACCGUUGUGACAAUUUUAUCAGACUUGUUCAUGGUAGAAGGGCUCAAAAAUCCACCUUGAUAAUUUUAUCGCAAGUUAAGACUGCGAAACUUCACAACUUGUUUGUGAAUCAAUACAUGCUGUCAGUAUUAGAAAACUACUCAUUGGGUACCGAUGGAGAUCGAAUGCUUCCUAAUUUAGUGAAGAAUUAUAAAAGUUUGUGUUAUCUUUGCA